rnacentral:rRNA from 1 species
AGCAGCCGCGGUAAUUCCAGCUCCAAUAGCGUAUAUUAAAGUUGUUGCAGUUAAAAAGCUCGUAGUUGAAUUUCGGGAUCAUCAGGUUGGUCGUGCCUCUGGUAUGUACUGAUUUCGAUGGUUCCUCCUUCUUGAAGAUCCGUAAUGCCAUUAAUUUGGUGUUGCGGGGAAUCAGGACUGUUACUUUGAAAAAUUAGAGUGUUUAAAGCAGGCAAUCGCUUGAAUACAUUAGCAUGGAAUAAUGAAAUAGGACGUUUGAUCCUAUUUUGUUGGUUUCUAGGAUUGACGUAAUGAUUAAUAGGGAUAGUUGGGGGCAUUAGUAUUCAAUUGUCAGAGGUGAAAUUCUUGGAUUUAUUGAAGACUAACUACUGCGAAAGCAUUUGCCAAGGAUGUUUUCAUUAACCAAGAACGAAAGUUAGGGGAUCGAGGACGAUCAG